GGUUUUCAGUUCUCUGUUGGGGAUUCCUAUCUGCGUUGUCCUCCAGAGGCUGACUUUGAUGACGAAGCCGAGGCACGGAGCUGUGUAGUACCUAGUCCAAGGUUCCCAUGGUGGCAGUCUAGGCUUGAUCUCCAGAUAUGCUCAUGGCUGGACUGCUUGGGUGACAGAUUCGCUUAAAUAUGAGAGCAGACCUGAUCACUCAGAAGGACAAGGAGGAGCUG